rnacentral:rRNA from 1 species
GACGAACGCUGGCGGCGUGCUUAACACAUGCAAGUCGAACGGAAAGGCCCUGCUUUUGUGGGGUGCUCGAGUGGCGAACGGGUGAGUAACACGUGAGUAACCUGCCCUUGACUUUGGGAUAACUUCAGGAAACUGGGGCUAAUACCGGAUAGGAGCUCCUGCUGCAUGGUGGGGGUUGGAAAGUUUCGGCGGUUGGGGAUGGACUCGCGGCUUAUCAGCUUGUUGGUGGGGUAGUGGCUUACCAAGGCUUUGACGGGUAGCCGGCCUGAGAGGGUGACCGGCCACAUUGGGACUGAGAUACGGCCCCGACUCCUACGGGAGGCCGCAGUGGGGAAUAUUGCACAAUGGGCGGAAGCCUGAUGCCGCAACGCCGCGUGCGGGAUGACGGCCUUCGGGUUGUAAACCGCUUUCGCCUGUGACGAAGCGUGAGUGACGGUAAUGGGUAAAGAAGCACCGGCUAACUACGUG